UCCUACAGCUCCGGAGCACUCAUCAGUUGAGAUGUCCUGCCAGCAGAGCCAACAGCAGUGCCAGCCCCCUCCCAAGUGUACCCCAAAAUGCCCUCCCAAGUGUCAGACCCCUAAGUGUCCCCCAAAGUGCCCCCCAAAGUGUCCUCCCAAGUGCCCCCCUGUGUCUUCCUGCUGCAGCUCUGGUAGCUGCUGUGGCUCCAGUUCUGGUGGCUGCUGCAGCUCUGGGGGUGGAGGCUGUUGCCUGAGCCACCACAGACCUCGCAGAUCUCUCCGUCGCCAUCGCCACAGCUCUGGAUGCUGUAGCAGUGGUGGCAGCAGUGGCUGCUGUGGCAGUAGCAGCGGCUGCUGUGGCAGCAGUGGUGGCAGCAGUGGCUGCUGUGGCAGCAGUGGUGGCAGCAGUGGAUGCUGUGGCAGCAGUGGUGGCAGCAGUAGCUGCUGUGGCAGCAGUGGCAGUAACCAACAGUCUGGGGGCUGCUGCUGACCAGUGCCAUGAAGAUCUCAAACAUGCUAUGCAGAGGAAGCCAUGUUUAGAAGACCAGCCAAUGCUUUCUGUUCUUGUGUUCUUCAUGUCCUUGUCUGUGAACUGCUGAAAUUCUGUAUCAGGUUAUGAAAUUGUCCCAGUGACCUAAUCUUUCUUCUUCAGUAUUUUGUGAAAAUAAAGUCUUGUUUAUUGAGUCUACC
rnacentral:lncRNA from 1 species